AUGGCCGACGCGGGUCAAAGUGUAGUAUCUGUUCUUAUCAGCUGAAUAUCUGAUACUGUGUUUGGACCCAAGAUAUUAGGCUUAUUUUUGCAAAUUGGCGGAGUGCUUGAAGCCUGCUUCACCUCUGCCGCGGGUAGGCCUGAUAUUGCACAACCUUCGGGAUUUUUGGUCUACCGACACCAA